rnacentral:rRNA from 1 species
CCUACGGGUGGCAGCAGUGGGGAAUAUUGCACAAUGGGGGAAACCCUGAUGCAGCGACGCCGCGUGAGUGAUGAAGUAUUUCGGUAUGUAAAGCUCUAUCAGCAGGGAAGAUAAUGACGGUACCUGACUAAGAAGCUCCGGCUAAAUAUGUGCCAGCAGCCGCGGUAAUACGUAUGGAGCAAGCGUUAUCCGGAUUUACUGGGUGUAAAGGGAGCGCAGACGGCAGGGCAAGUCUGAUGUGAAAGUCCGGGCUCAACCCCGGGACUGCAUUGGAAACUGUCCGGCUAGAGUGCAGGAGAGGUAAGUGGAAUUCCUAGUGUAGCGGUGAAAUGCGUAGAUAUUAGGAGGAACACCAGUGGCGAAGGCGGCUUACUGGACUGUAACUGACGUUGAGGCUCGAAAGCGUGGGGAGCAAACAGGAUUAGAUACCCGAGUAGUC